GUGCUCACUUCAGCCACACAUAUACUGAAGUCGGAACAAGACAGAAAAGAUUAGCAUGGCCCCUGUGCAACGAUGACACACAAACUCGUGAAGUGUUCCAUAUUUUU